AGCCGGGGAGAUAGCGGUGCCCUGCAUCUGCAAUCCGCUUUAGCAGAGGUGAUGCCCGACCGCGGAGUGGUCUUUGCGAAGCCGCCCUGUGUUUGUUUGAUGUUGAAGUCCGGGUCCCGCGCAAUGAGGCCCCCCGAACCGUGUCAGGUCAGGAAUGAAGCAGCACUAAGAGGAAUGUUUCAUGUGCCGCGGGGUUACCUUGGCUGAGUCAAACGCUCAGGUACCGUUCGUGAA
rnacentral:SRP_RNA from 1 species